AGUGAACGCUGGCGGCAGGCCUAACACAUGCAAGUCGAACGGCAGCACGGGAGCAAUCCUGGUGGCGAGUGGCGGACGGGUGAGUAAUACAUCGGAACGUACCUUAUCGUGGGGGAUAACGCAGCGAAAGCUGUGCUAAUACCGCAUACGCCCUGAGGGGGAAAGCGGGGGAUCGCAAGACCUCGCGCGAUUAGAGCGGCCGAUGCCUGAUUAGCUAGUUGGUGGGGUAAAAGCUCACCAAGGCGAUGAUCAGUAGCUGGUCUGAGAGGACGAUCAGCCACACUGGGACUGAGACACGGCCCAGACUCCUACGGGAGGCAGCAGUGGGGAAUUUUGGACAAUGGGGGCAAUCCUGAUCCAGCAAUGCCGCGUGAGUGAAGAAGGCC
rnacentral:rRNA from 1 species